UUGAAAAAAAAAAAGAAAAGUCCCAAGACUAUUUUGAGAUGUGUGUUCUAAUCUCAGCGGCUGGAGCUCCUGAAGAAGGAAGCCUUGCGGAACCACCAGACGCCCCGGUAUGACAAUCGGUGCAGGAACAUGAGCCAGGAACAGGUGGCCCAGAAGCUGGCCAAGGACCCCAAGCCUGCGAUCCGCUUCCGCCUGGAGCAGGUGGCGCCGGCCUUCCAGGACCUGGUGUAUGGCUGGAAUAGGCAUGAAGUGGCCAGCGUGGAGGGAGACCCAGUCAUCAUGAAGAGCGACGGCUUCCCCACAUACCACCUGGCCUGCGUGGUAGACGACCACCACAUGGGCAUCAGCCACGUGCUGCGAGGCUCUGAGUGGCUCGUCUCCACUGCCAAGCACCUGCUCCUCUACCAGGCCCUGGGCUGGCAGCCACCCCACUUCGCCCACCUGCCCCUGCUCCUCAACAGAGAUGGCAGCAAGCUCUCCAAGAGGCAAGGGGACAUUUUCCUGGAGCACUUUGCUGCUGAUGGCUUCCUGCCCGAUUCCUUGUUGGACAUCAUCACCAACUGUGGCUCAGGUUUUGCAGAGAACCAAAUGGGCAGGACCCUGCCAGAGCUGAUCGCACAGUUCAACCUGACCCAGGUCACCUGUCACUCAGCCCUGCUGGACCUGGAGAAGCUCCCAGAAUUCAACAGCCCCUUGAUUUCUUCCUCAGACUGCACCUCCAGCGGCUGGUGAGCAAUGAGAGCCAGAGGCGCCAGCUGGUGGGGAAGCUGCAGGUCCUUGUGGAGGAGGCCUUUGGGAGCCAGCUGCAAAACAGGGAUGUCCUCAACCCAGUCUAUGUGGAGAGGAUCCUCCUGCUGAGACAGGGUCACAUUUGCCGCCUGCAGGACUUGGUGUCCCCAGUGUACUCUUACCUGUGGACUCGCCCUGCAGUGGGUCGAGCACAGCUGGACGCCAUCUCGGAGAAGGUGGAUGUGAUUGCCAAGCGUGUGCUGGGGCUUCUAGAAAGAUCUGGUAUGAGCUUAACUCAGGAUAUGCUGAAUGGAGAACUGAAGAAGCUAUCAGAAGGUCUGGAAGGCACCAAGUACAGUAAUGUGAUGAAACUCCUUCGGGUGGCCCUCAGUGGACAGCAGCAAGGACCUCCUGUAGCUGAGAUGAUGUUGGCCUUGGGACCAAAGGAAGUGCGAGAACGUAUCCAGAAGGUGGUUUCCAGCUAGGGAGAGCAUGUGUCGGGCAGUGGAGAUCGCCCUAAGAACCUGUGAGCUUAGAAACAGCUUUCAGAGAACAGAAGGAGGCCUGGGGCCCGUCGGGAAGUUUGCCGAAGGAACCAAGAGUGGAAACAAUCUCUGACUGCACACGAGUGCAUUUGUGAUCUACCACAGGCCCGUUCUUGUCAGUUGGCUGGGGAAGCCCAACCCAUCUAACCUCCUGAACUCUGGAAAGGCAUUCUCCGGGUCUGGUUUCUCACACAUUACACAGCAGAGGUUUGGAGUUAGUUCACAGAAAAGCUAACAUCCCAGAACAGUGCAGAAGGCUUGGGUUUCAGUUUGCUAGGGCCCCCAUAACAAAAUGCCACAGAACCAGGUGGUUUAAACAACAGAGAUUUAUUUUCUCACAUUUGGAGGCUAGAAGUUCAAGAUCAAGGUGUCAGCAGGCCUGGUUUUUCCUAGAGGCCUCUUUUCUUGGCUUGCAGACAGCUAUCUUCUCACUGUGUCCUUGUGCGGUCUUCCCUCCAUGCACACACAUCUCUGGUUUCAUUAUGUGCCCAACGUUCCUCUUCUAAGAACACCAGUCGGACUGGAUUUUAACUUUAAUCAGCCUCAUUUAACUUAAUCACCUCUUUAAAUGCUCAGUCUCCAAGUACAGUCUCAUUCUGAGGUGCUGGGGGUUUCUCAACGUAAGAAUUUAGGGGGACACAAUUCAGCCCAUAGCAGCUGGGCAGCAGCACUCACGGGUCCCAGUUCUCAGGCCCCAAGGACUCAGAGCAGCAAAGGAUAUGUGACACAAGCAGGGCUGAACUGGACACCAGACUUUCUUUGGGGUUGUAAAAGGAGAAGUGUGACUCCACUGCCAAGGUCUUCCAGACCUGGUCCUUGGACUGGAGACCCUGCCUAUUUUGUGGCUUUCUCUUCAAAUCCACCUCUUCCUUCCUCCAUGACUUAUAAGUCAUCAUCUCUGCUGGUUUCUGAAAUGAGAUAUGCUUCUUGGGGUCUUCAGUGAAGAGGAAUAGCAAGUGAAAGGAGGAUGGUGGCAGGGUACAUGAAACCCUACCAGGCUUCUAGGCUUCCCUUGCAUGGCAGCCAGCCUCUAAGUUGGCCCCCAACCAUCCCUGCCUUCUUCUAUUCACACCCUUGUGUGGUUCCUUCCCACAUUGAAUAGGCCUGACUUGUGUAACCACUACGCUAUUGAAGAAAUGAGAGUUUGACUUCUGAGGGUAAGUCAUAAAAUACAUCAUGGCUUCUGUCUUGUUUUCUUUGAUCACUUACUUUGGGGGAAGCCAGCUUCCAGGUCAUGAAAAUACUCAAGCAGCCUUAUGGGGUGCUCCAUAUGACAAGGGAUCGAGGCCUCCCACCAAUAGCCAUGGGAGUGCGCCAUCUUGGAAGCCAGUCCCCUAAUUCCAGCCAAGCAUUCACAUGACCACAGUCCUAGCUGAUCUCGCUUGUGACCUCUAUGGGAGACCCUAAACCAGAACCACUCAGAGAAGCUGCUCCGGAAUUUCAGACACACAUGAACUGUGAAAUAGUAAACGUUUAUUGUUUAAAGCUACUUGGUUUGGGGAUAAUUUGCAUUUCAGCAAUAGACAAUAUAUUUAUUUUGUCCAGGGGAGUGGAAAGGCGAUUACAGAGUUUGUUGAGCCCCAGAGA
rnacentral:sRNA from 1 species